AGAGUUUGAUCAUGGCUCAGAACGAACGCCGGCGGCGUGGAUAAGACAUGCAAGUCGAACGCUGGUUUGCGGGUAGCAAUAUUCGCAAGCUGGAGUGGCGCAAGGGUGUGUAACACGUGGGUAAUCUGCCGUGAAGUCUGGGAUAACUUGCUGAAAGGCGAGCUAAUACCGGAUGUGAACGCAAGUUCAAAGUUGGGGACCGUAAGGCCUGACGCUUCACGAUGAGCCCGCGGCCUAUCAGCUAGUUGGUGAGGUAACGGCUCACCAAGGCUAAGACGGGUAGCUGGUCUGAGAGGACGACCAGCCACACUGGAACUGAGACACGGUCCAGACACCUACGGGUGGCAGCAGUCGAGAAUUUUUCUCAAUGGGCGGAAGCCUGAAGGAGCGACGCCGCGUGGGGGAUGAAUGGCUUCGGCCCGUAAACCCCUGUCAUUUGCGAACAAGUUGAUUCACCUAACACGUGAAGCAUUGAUUGUAGCGGAAGAGGAAGGGACGGCUAACUCUGUGCCAGCAGCCGCGGUAAUACAGAGGUCCCAAGCGUUGUUCGGAUUCACUGGGCGUAAAGGGUGCGUAGGCGGCCAGGUAAGUUUGAUGUGAAAUCCCGCAGCUCAACUGCGGAACUGCAUUGAAUACUAUUUGGCUCGAGGAAUGGAGGGGAGACUGGAAUUCUCGGUGUAGCAGUGAAAUGCGUAGAUAUCGAGAGGAACACCAGUGGCGAAGGCGAGUCUCUGGACAUUUCCUGACGCUCAGGCACGAAAGCCAGGGGAGCAAACGGGAUUAGAUACCCCAGUAGUCC
rnacentral:rRNA from 1 species